rnacentral:rRNA from 1 species
UACGUAGGGUGCGAGCGUUAAUCGGAAUUACUGGGCGUAAAGCGUGCGCAGGCGGUUUUGUAAGCCAGAUGUGAAAUCCCCGGGCUUAACCUGGGAAUGGCAUUUGGGACUGCAAGGCUGGAGUGCGGCAGAGGAGACUGGAAUUCCUGGUGUAGCAGUGAAAUGCGUAGAUAUCAGGAGGAACACCGAUGGCGAAGGCAGCCCCCUGGGUCAAGAUUGACGCUCAUGCACGAAAGCGUGGGGAGCAAACAGG